UCACCGGGUGAGAACUGGUAGA
rnacentral:miRNA from 1 species